UUGUAUUUAUGAUCACUUUGUUGGUGCAACUAAAUAAACUAGAGGUCCCGCAGUAGUCGAAAUUCGACUAUAAUUAAUUGGAUGCCUUCGCCUGUUAAUUGUUGAAUCGCAUGAUGGGGCUUGCCUUUAACUACGUGAAAACGUUUCCGAAAACAAGCUAGUUUUUCUUUAUAAAUUAGCUAACUUUUUUAGAUAAGAUCGCUUUUGAUGGAAGUUGAUUGAAGCACUAAUGUGAUUCUGAUAAGAAUCAAAAGAAAAUUUCGCAC